rnacentral:lncRNA from 1 species
CAGUGCAGCGUGUCACAGCCAGGCGACAUAGUCACUGAGCACUAACUUCUAUUAAAUCCAGGCAGACUGUGAGAACCAUAUCGGGACUGCAUCAAGACAUGAGAGAAGCAAAGGUAAUUCUUCUGUUUCUAAAAAUCAAACAUUUCCAUCUGGAAGGGACAGACCAGCCAAGGGGUGGGGGUGGUAUGUUUCGUGUCAAAACUGAUCAGCCGGGAAAUAGACGUAUCCAUCAGCUGGGAAAUAAAUUGGAAACACAGAAAGAGAAGAGCCUCUGUUAAUUUUUGUUUGUUUGUUUACGUGAAAGUCUCAUACAAAAUGAAUGCGUUGGCUUUAGGAUCGUUAUAAAAAGAGAGCGUUGCUAGUGAAGGUUUUGUUACAUGAGACGUACACUGCAAGGCUCAUAUCUGGUAAUGAUAGGAGUUUUUGUCUUUCUGAGAUCUCUAAGUUGGAAAGGACUUUAGAGAUCAUCCGCUUUGUCAUGAAUGAUCACAUCUAAUACUUUUCUUUUUUUAAAGGGGUAGCUGCAAAGUUUUGGACCAGGCCUCUGCAGGCAACUGGAAGCACAGUGUACCCAGGUGGUGGGUCUCGUCUGUGGCAAUAUAUUUUUCUGUCUGUCCAAUUGAGUAUGGCUGUAAAGGGAAUAAAACCCAUGUAAUCUCCAGCAGUGACAAUUUAAUCAGUUGUAUAAGGGGAAGAAGCAGAGUCCCCUCAUUUUCAUAUUUGCAUAUUUGAUUUUUGCAUUGGGGAAUAGAGGUUAUGUUUUUCUAUUACUUCCCAUUCAAUUUUGAUAUUUAACUCUUUUAUGAGCAAAUUUGUGCAGUGAUAGGAAAUACUGAGUUAAAUCGAUCUAAGAGAAGGAUUCCAUUUCUGCAAUGAGGCACUUGAUGCAGCAUGCUUUGUGUAACAUUUUUCCCCCACAAAGAAUCUAUAUGCCAAACAUGGCUUGCACGCUCCCGGCUUCUGCACGUGAUGCAUCCGCUAUUAACAUUCAGAGAUCCACCCUGAAAAUGAAGGCAACUGUUUGGAGAACAAUGCAAAAUGAUGAGGACUAUACCAUAAUGCUCCCCUUUUUGGUUAAUAUUUCGUAAAAUCUUAAUAGCUGCAUCUAUUUCCGAGAAAGUAGGGUUGCUAAAAUAACUUAUAUACAGAGGGGUCAGUUUUUAUGAGGUUAUAGAGGAGCAAUAAAUACAGUUAAAUUAAUAAAACUUCAUUGUGUUUUACAAUUAACAGAAUAUUAUUGCCCAUAAUGUAGUAACAGAUUAUAGGGUAGAUUUUAAGAUAAACAAGAUGCAAGUAAUUUGAAAUCAUCAUCAAUUAUCCUUGUGUGACUCCCAUGAGUAUAUUAAAAAUCUAUUCAAAAUGGCGUUGGAUUUGAAUUACUGGAACAUGGAUAGCUGUUUUUUAUGCAUCAAUGAAUGUUUGCCUCCCCUUCUAUAAGCCUCAAAAGUAUGUUGGGUAAUUAAAAGAAGAGAGGGGAUAGUAUUCUACUUGCUUAAUGAUUUAGAAUUUCUUUAUAAAAAGUGAACUCUGAAGCCAACAUUGCACUGGAGAGGGAAGGAAUAAUGAUUUUGGUUCUAUAUAGUUUUACAAAAAGAGAGAAAGCAUAAACAAAAGUUUUGAAAUCUUACAUGCAUUAAAGUUAAUCUAUAGAUAUAUUCAUACACAUAUGUACACAUGUGUAUGUCUGUGUGUGUGUGUGUGUGUGUAUAUAUAUAUAUAUAUCCUAAUUGUUAACAAUCACAUUCUAUGAGAAGGAUUACUAGAUUUGGAAUUCCAGAAUUCUGAAAAGAUAAGCCAUAGCAUUUUGUUAAAAAGUAGAGCAGAUUGUCUAUUUAAUUUACAUCCAUGAAAAAAUACAUCAGUAGAGUAUACAGGCAUGUAAAUCAUUAGAUGACAGGUAUAAGAUGCUUUGGGGGUGAGCACGGCCUCGCAUUAAAUUCAAGCACAUCAUAUGUCAAGUUUUGAAUAUGUUCUUGUUUAUUUAAAUCUGCAUUCUGAUGAUCACCCUUUCAAAGAGGUUGCAAAUAUAUGAAUAUGUGAUCCAAUGAUUACGUAUUCAAAUUAACCCCGUUUCUUUGAAUAUGGUCUAAUGAUUGAAUGAUCCCCCAAACACUGCAACUCCUCAGGGAAAUAUGCUGAUGCCUCAGCACAUUUUCUCAAGGCCUGGAGAGUACUAGAUCUGCCAAGGAGUGCCUUGAAGCAUGGAAACUCCGCUCUACCUAAACACAAGUCCUAGGCUUUAAUCACAAUGGCUAGGUUCACACUAAAGCAAUUAACCAUAUGAUUGCUUUCGCAGGAGCCCAACCUCAUCAGUAUCUUUCCUUCCGGCAAACUGACAAGGCUGGAUAUAGUCAAUGACUCAAGUGGAUUUGAUUGCCUAAGAGGUAGAGGUCUCUGAACACACAGUCCCAAAUGGAGAGUAGGAAUAUUCAUCUUCAAUUUAUUUUUUGAGGUUGCCUUUCACAAUUUACCAUUUCACAUUUAAAUGUAAAUGAUUAAGGUAAAAUAAUUGUUCCAUUAAAGAAUCAAGAGUUGAGAAGUAUGCUCAGAAAGAAGGUGAAGACCAAAUAUUAAUGAUCUGUUUUAUAGUUUGUUGUUGUUUUGUGUGUGUGUGUGUGUGUGUGUGUGUGUGUGAGUGUGUUUG